UACACUCCUGCGGGAGGCAGCAGUGGGGAAUUUUGGACAAUGGGGGCAACCCUGAUCCAGCAAUGCCGCGUGAGUGAAGAAGGCCUUCGGGUUGUAAAGCUCUUUUGUCAGGGAAGAAACGGUGGUGGCGAAUAACUACUACUAAUGACGGUACCUGAAGAAUAAGCACCGGCUAAAUACGUGCCAGCAGCCGCGGUAAUACGUAGGGUGCAAGCGUUAAUCGGAAUUACUGGGCGUAAAGCGUGCGCAGGCGGUUGUGUAAGUCAGAUGUGAAAUCCCCGGGCUCAACCUGGGAAUUGCAUUUGAGACUGCACGGCUAGAGUGUGUCAGAGGGGGGUAGAAUUCCACGUGUAGCAGUGAAAUGCGUAGAUAUGUGGAGGAAUACCGAUGGCGAAGGCAGCCCCCUGGGAUAACACUGACGCUCAUGCACGAAAGCGUGGGGAGCAAACAGGAUUAGAUACCCCUGUAGUCCCA
rnacentral:rRNA from 1 species